GGCAGCAAGUUUGGACCCGACCCAAACACUCACAUUUCGGCCCAUGAGGCCCAUUAAACUCAAUAGAUAAGUCACCACUUUGCCCUAUAUCAUUUCACACGACCUAAAACAGAUCCAAAACCCUUAUUUUCUCUCCCAAACCCCCUUUCUAAUUGAGCCAUCAUAUAAGCUAAAUCCUAGACCCUUGACAUGAUAUUAGUUAAAGAGAAGUUGUAGCUUAAGUUUUUUUUUUUGUGUUGUUAAGCAAGCAGCUGGAAAGAGGAACAAGAUUCUUGAAGAUUCUGAUUGCUAAAGGUAAUUUCAACCUCCCACUCAUGUUAUCAAUUUGGAUUAAAGGUUUAAUAUGGUGUAUACGUGAAGGAAACGUUGAUAUACAAGCUAGAGAGAGAGAGAGCAUAAGCCAUGGCAUUCGGCCAUGGCUAGCAAAAUUGGAGCUCAAAUUUGUUGAUCCAAAAAUCAGAUUUUCUAGGUAUUUCAGCCCUUAGGAAGGUGAUAAUAACGUGGAGAAUUCAUUUGGAGCAACAAGAACAAGUAUUAGUGCAUUUCACAAAUUCUAGCUAAGUGGAAAAAGCCAACUUGUUAAGACCUUGGGGAGCCCGAGGCGUAGAUUGGAAUUUACUUUAGAUUGGCUAUCUUGGAGUGCGUACGAGGUACCGACGACAGGUUUGCUGAUCCGUCCGUCUAGGAUAUCUUUUCUGCCAUUUGGAGCGCUCUUUUAUUCAGAGCCCAUCUUUUGGUACAGUCUGUCACUACUGUAUAUAUAUAUUCUCAUUCAUGGGUACGGCGGGGCCCUGUCCCGUUAUAUGAUUCCGCGGUCUGUUUAGAGGUCU